rnacentral:tRNA from 1 species
GUAGUUGUAGCCCAGUGGUAGAGCGCAUGCUUAGCAGGCACGAGGUCCUGGGUUCAAUCCCCAGUACCUCCA